rnacentral:lncRNA from 1 species
CGCCCCAACCAAUGCACUACUGCGGCCUCCACCCAGACCACUGACACCGUCGCCCCCCACCAUCGCAGCUCCUCUGCCGCACCAAGCACCCACUGUUGCUUCCUCCACCCAGACCACUGCUGCCGUCGCCCCCAACCACAACAGAGCGGCACCGCCGAGCACCAAUUGACACGGAGCAUCACAUCGCCGAGCCACUCCACCGGUGACCAUCCUCCUCCGCUGUACGCCGUCGUUUAUCAGCUACCACCCUCCUCGCGAGCUUCCUCCCCCAAGCUGGCCCUCUGCACAAGCUCACCCGAGCACCAAGGAGCUCCUCCGGUAAGCUGCACCUUCUCCACAGUUCACGCCUUCACUAGAUUAUGAUUUCUUGAAGCAAACACAUGAACUUUCUGUUGCUAAUUUUUGCUUGUAUUGAUCUGUUGGGAGCCUUUAUGUACUUUAUACAGAUGCAGUUUAUGUUGCUACAAGUUUUGCUUGUAUUGAUCUGUUGGGAGUCUUUAUGUACUUUAUAAUGAUUCACAUGUAAUAAGCAUCUUGCAGUAUUAGUGAAGGAACGACACCAGGAGACAACCCACUGGCCAAGGAGCGCCCUUAUAUCAUCAAUAUCUACCGAAACAUUAGUGACCACAGUAGUAAAUUAUAUACGGUCGUGUCAACUGCACUCUGGUCGUAGAUUUGAAGUUUGGUCAUCGUUCAUAUUGAUGUGAGUACACCAUGACCACCCCCCUGGAGUGCACCAAAAUGACGAGUCAUAACUGCUUCUUGUGCGAGCUUACUUUGUUCAUUUUCAAUAUAAUAUAUGGUAGAUUGCUCUUCUUACCAUGGUAUUUUAGUUUGAUGUUAGAUUAGACUAUGUGAUAGCAUUAGCAUGUUACCUCCUUGCCCCAACCAGCGUUGCCUUGCCUCUACUUCCUUGCCUGAGUAGUGUCGUGUACGUCCUCUACAUCAUCGCCAGAGCAGCACCACAUCCUCUGCUUCUUAAUCAUCGGUGAUAUUUCUUUGCUAUUCCCAUGAUAUAUAUAAUGAUAUUCUUACUACUAUUUUAGUGUUUGCAUUUCCUGAAAUGACAUGUUUCAAUUCACUAUUUCUUCUGUGCUAGAUUGUAUUCCUGGUCUGUAUUGUAUUUCUCCUUGCCUGUACUAGUUAAUAAUGGUAUGCAUUUUGUUAUUAGAUUUUUUCCUAUUAAUAGAAGUACACUUUCUUUCGUAUGUUAUACGAUGUAUUGCAUGGCCUUACAAGCAUGUAAGCUUAGGUCCUAUGAUUAAAUAUACACUGACUAUCAUGGUUGAUUUCUUAAAACUCUUUUGCUUCUAUGUAUGCAGUUGGAAGUCAAUUAAUGGCAAAUGCAGCAAUGGGUUGCGACCACAAGCAAGCUGAGGAGGUAAUAUACAUGUUUUCUUGGCUGAAUAUUUACAUUAGUGUGUACUAUCAAGGACAGAUAGUAAUGCUUUGCUCAUUUGGUUGCUACAUGGUUAACUUGUGUCCAGGAAACUUGAGCUCCUGAUUCCAGUAUAUAUUAUUAAUUAGUAAUUCAAACAGAUCAUUAUAGUUCUUUAGAAGUGUGCUUUUGUGUCCAUCGGCCAUGAAUUUGUAGAGAGGUCAGUUGAAUAAAUAUGGUUACAAAUAUAAACUUCAAUUGGUUCAUCUUUCUUUCAUGUACACGAUAGACUCUACCAUGUAGAGAAAUGAUUUUCAUUGGAUUCCACGCUCACAAAUUUCAUUUGAUUCAUUUCUCAUAAUUGGAUCCUCUUUCUUUCAUGUACAUGAAGUAUUUCAGUUUGUUUGUUUGUUUGUCAAAAGCCUUGGUUUAUUUUUCUAGGCUAAUUCAAGUUGUUGUGCGAAUCAUUUAUGUAACUCAACUUUAAUAGCUCCUGCAAAGAGGGAGCAGAAAUUAAAAGGCUUGUUUGUGCAAUGCUUCAUUGAAAAUCACAAUACUCCCAAUACACCCUUCAUCAGAUUCUUCAAUAGGAGAAAUGUAGUUCAGCUUCGUGUUCUGGAUGCAGGAAGUCUGUAGUCAUAGUUGUUGUCAUUGCUCUAAGGAACACGGUACCACGCAAAACCACAAAAUGAUAUCGUCAUUUAUAGAUGUCCAGAUUCAUUAUCCUAUUAUGUUGUGCCAACUUCAUAUAGGAACUCAAAAUAAAUCAACUUAUAUCCAAGGUCAGUCUCAAUAUCAGGGCCAACUAGAGACUGCACUAGCACACUGAAUCUGCAGGUUCCAAUACUAAUGUUUAAUUGUAUUACUUUGAAGAAGCCAAGGUAUACGACAUACGAAAUUUUAAGAAGCACAACUAAACACUUGAUGCGUUCUGGUAGAGAAAUAGUACCAAGUGAAAAUAAGAUGCUAUAAUUUUGCAUAUGUGCUUGUUCAGUACAGUAGCUUCAUAAUUUGCUUAUUUAAUGUUCAGUGUGUGAUCGUGACCUUGUGCUUGUGCUUCAAAAUGUAGAAAACAAUCAAAAUGGUCAUCAAUUCUGUUCGCUUUACUUUGGUACAGGAAUAGCGUCACUUUUGUUGUACAAGAUAGGCACACCUACUUGCUGUUAAUAUUUGUACAGACUUUGCACACUAUAUCUGGAUGAGAAGUAAGAUAAGCUUGCUACUGUCAAGAUGAUAAAAAAUGGACAUGUUGAUGUCCAGGAUAUGUUCUCUACUAAAGUAGAGAUUACUCUAGAGAUGUUACUAGUUGCUCUAUGUUUCAGAACAUAUGUGGCUGUUGUAUGUCGGCAUGCGGAUGUUGUAUGUGAUUGUUGUAACAUCUUCCCGUUAAUAUUUGUACAGACUUUGCACACUACAUUUUGAUGAGAAGAUAAGCUUGCUACUAUUAAGAUGAUAAAAAAUGGACAUGUUGAUGUCCAGGACAUGUUCUCUACUAUAGAAGAGAUUACUCAAGAGAUGUUACUGGUUGCUCUAUAUUUUAGAACAUAUGUGGCUGUUAUAUGCGAUUGUUGUAACAUCUUCGUUGAGUUUUGACUGCAACUAUUAUAUGUAACAUCUUCUGAUCUAUUGCAGGUUUCCCAAAGGUGCACAAGUUCACUAAGAUUUGGAAGAUCUUUAAGCUGCUAAAGAUUUGGAAGACCUAAAAUUAAGUUGGUGGAGUGAUAAUGACCUGUGUCUUGUUUGUUGAACUUGAGACUUGCUCUGCUCAUUUUGGUGGUUGUUAAUUAGCUCAUUUAGGUUGUGUGGCACACAUCUAGAAACAUAUGUACAUCUCUAGUGGCACUACUUUAUUUUUGUUGUGUGGCAAACAUAUAUAUGUACUUCUUUUGUGGCACAACCUCUUUAUAUAUGGUCGUUAUGAUUAUCGAAUGAAGUUUAAGGUUUUCGAUGAGGCCUAUAUGUUACUUUGAAGUGCAUGUAUAAAUUGUGUGCUAUGUCCUGAUUGCGUAGAUAUAUAUAGAG